rnacentral:rRNA from 1 species
AGCGAACGCUGGCGGCAGGCUUAACACAUGCAAGUCGAGCGCCCCGCAAGGGGAGCGGCAGACGGGUGAGUAACACGUGGGAACGUACCCUUUGGUUCGGAACAACCCAGGGAAACUUGGGCUAAUACCGGAUAAGUCCGCGAGGAGAAAGAUUUAUCGCCGAAGGAUCGGCCCGCGUCUGAUUAGCUAGUUGGUGUGGUAACGGCGCACCAAGGCGACGAUCAGUAGCUGGUCUGAGAGGAUGAUCAGCCACACUGGGACUGAGACACGGCCCAGACUCCUACGGGAGGCAGCAGUGGGGAAUAUUGGACAAUGGGGGCAACCCUGAUCCAGCCAUGCCGCGUGAGUGAUGAAGGCCCUAGGGUUGUAAAGCUCUUUCGGCGGGGAAGAUAAUGACGGUACCCACAGAAGAAGCCCCGGCUAACUUCGUG